rnacentral:rRNA from 1 species
CCCGGCGCCGCCGCCGCCGCCCCCCUGCGCCGCCUCCCCGCCCAGCCCCGUCCCGCGGCUCACCUUCCGCCACCUCUCGCCCUGCGCGCGCUGGCACGACUGGGCCAGGUCGUCCCUCGCCGACCCAGGAUUCGCGCCCGUCCUCCGCGCCGCGGGCGUCCACGACGCCGUCGCGGCAUCCACCGCCGCCGUCGCCCCCGACCGCCACGCCCUGUCCGCGUUGCUCUCGCUCUGGCACCCGGGCUCCCACGCCUUCCGCCUCCCCGCCGGCCCCGCCACCUUCUCCCUCGAGGACGCGCUGCUCCUCGCCGGCCUGGCCCCGUCCGGCGCCCCGCUCGACCGGCCCCUCACCCCGACCGAGCAGGACAUCCGCGCCCGCCUCGUCGUCGAGAAGGAGAAGAUCCAGGCGCUCCACCCGUGCGCCCGCAAGGCCCGCCGCGUCUCCGCCGAGGUCUGGCUCGAGUGGUUCGAGAGCCGAAUCCGCCCCGGGGAGGACGACGAGCUGCGCCGCCUCGGCUUCCUCGCCUACUGGCUCGCCUUCUUCGUCGCCCCGCGCCUGCGGUCCAAGGGCGCCGAGCUGCCGGAGCGCGUCUUCGCGCUCGCCGCGCGGAUCAGCCUCGGGGAGCGCAUCGCGCUGGGGCCGGCCGUGGUGGCCAAUCUCUACGCCGAGAUGGACAGGAUUGUCACUACCGGGGUGGAAGAGGGGGCGAGUGGCCGCGUCGACGUCUGGGCGCCGCUCUGGCUGCUGCAGGUGUGGCUGUGGGAGCGCUACGACCGCCUGCAGCCGCCGGAGCUGAAAGCGCCGGAGUUCCCUCUCUCCAAUGUCCGGGCGCUCUAUUGGUCUCGGAGGAGGAGGAAGACCACAGAAGAGGAGGCUUUGCGUGUUCUGCAGGAAGAGGAUUCUUUCGAGUGGAGGCCUUACCUGCGCAAUUCGCUCGACUGGGCUGAACCUGAGUGGUUCAGCAAGGAAACAAUCUUGGUGAGCUCCAGAGGUAAGGAUAUGCCAGAGUGGUUGGAGGAUUACAUUGCGAUUAUGAGGCAAGCCGUGUUGACUGGAUCGUAUGGCGAUGAUAUGGAUAGUUCAGCAAUGUACAAUCCCCACAUUGUCGCGAGGCAGGUCGGUUAUGAUCAGGACGUGCCUUUUCCUCUUGUACAUGGGUUUGAUUCCAAGGGGAUCAAGUUGUGGGUACCUGGCAUCUGUAGACGCGGCGUUGCUAGCAAGGAAUAUGUUGCGUGGUUGAAUGGCGAGUUUGUGACGCACCAGGAAGCUGACCGGUUUGUUAGGCCAGUUGACGAAAUAGGCGCUGGCUCAUCUCCAAUGAAUGCAGAUACAGCAGCUGGUAAAUCUGGAGAAAGUACAAUGCAAGAUAACAGAAAACGCGUCGGAGAAGGGCAGCAGCUAGCUCAGGGGAACAAAGCAGAGGUGAUUGUCCUAGACCGUAGUAGUCCAUGUGAUAUGGACUCCAGUGCAACCGCGGUGAAAAGAAAGAAUGGGAACAGAAAAAGACGAGAUGAACUCUCUGAAAAUGGUGAUAUGCGCAAGAAAAGUAAGAUAUUUGCCAGCGAGUGCCAUGAAGGUCUGCAGCAAUAUGAUGACGGACCUUCCAUUGUCGGUUAUCCCGAGAAGAAUUCCUUGCAAUUUGACGGCCAGAAGUACCAUGGUCUCCAAAAUGAUCCUAAUUGUGACAUUAAUAGAUGUGAUGAGCUGCCACAGCCUGAGAGUGACGAUGAAUGCAUUGUUCUUGAACCAACAUGUGAAGUGAUAAACCUCGAUGAUGAUCAGGAAGAUGAGGACAGGCAACUUGUCCUCGUGCUACAAGAGUUUGUGCGCUGUGGGCUUUUCUCACAAUGGGAGGAAAGCUCUGAUGAAGAUGAGGAUGAAGGAGGUGAAGGAAAGAAAGAGACGCCGAAGAAGAGCAAUAUUGACCCUUAUGCUGAAGCAGCCAUGAGGGAGUACCCUCGGUUCUUUGAGUUCAUUCCCCAGAGACCACAUUACAGAGGGUUGGUGAACACCAGUGACACUAUACGAGAUCUGGCGUGCAGUGGACUGUGGCUCAUGUUGGUUGGCUUGGCUAGGGAGGUGCUCAAGACAUCCUGUGACACAGAAGCUUUGGAGGUUGCAUAUUUGAUGAAAAAAGCUCGGCAACUGGAACGAAAUGGGUUCAAUGUGAAGCAUCUCAUUGCCCGUCUGAGGGAGCCACAGGCCCGACUUAGAAGGCUUGAGGAUUCCAGGGCAAGGCUCGAGGAUGCCCGGACCAAAGAGCAAGAACCAAAAGAUGUGAAGUCACUCUCAAGCCAUCUGAGUAAUCUGAAACACAAUGUCCUAACAAUGCAGAGGCACUUGGAGGGAAAAAAGCAAGCUCGUAGUGCAUCUGUGCGUGAUGAGUCGAGCGAAGGAAUUGAUCUAGCCAGCCUGGAGAAGGAAGUAGAAGCUGCAGAAAAAUACUGUCAGGCGAUGAAGGAUGAAGUAGCUGCGAUGAGACUGAAAUACGCUGGCAUUUGA